UCGAAGGCAUGUUCUUGCGGAACCUCGACCUCUGGCUCCAAAUGACGUCACCAGAGCAAGACCUUUGAGGAGAAGGGGGUGUGUGGACGAAGAGCGUUCAGUCGGAGUCUCACCUCUUCUGGACAGGUUGACUGAGCGGCGUGUCGGGCCUCCUCUUUCCAUCUUAUACGAGUCUAUUUGUCCAUCAAUGAACAAGUGACGAACCUAAGAGAAGAAAGAAAGAAGAGACAGACAAACAAACAAACCUCUCAGCCAGUAUCUCCAGAGGACUCCGUCCCUGUGCCCAGCCCUUCACCAUCCAGGCUGUGUCGAAGGCUGCCAGGAAACCCCGAGCACAGCCUGUACCCAUCGGCCAGAAGGGCUGCGACCAGAGAACACAAGAUCUUUUGGUGAUGAGGCCCGACGCUGGUGUGGAUGAGCUGUAAACAACAACACUGAUCUUUCCAAAGGAGAAUUUUUAAACGUCACGUCCCGCCUCCUGCUGCUCUACAGGCUCCACCCCUUGCCUGAAUGUUCCUGUUGUUGUGAACGAUUCUGACCCGGACAAUCUCCUGCUGCUGCUGCUUUAUGUGUGACGGACAAACUGGUUUUAUGCACAAGUAAAUGAGUGCAUUCGAA